AGAGUUUGAUUCUGGCUCAGGACGAACGCUGGCGGCGUGCUUAACACAUGCAAGUCGAACGAUGAAGCCUAGCUUGCUAGGUGGAUUAGUGGCGAACGGGUGAGUAAUACGUGAGUAACCUACCUUUAACUCUGGGAUAAGCCUGGGAAACUGGGUCUAAUACCGGAUACGACCAAUCUCCGCAUGGGGUGUUGGUGGAAAGCGUUAUGUAGUGGUUAUAGAUGGGCUCACGGCCUAUCAGCUUGUUGGUGAGGUAACGGCUCACCAAGGCGACGACGGGUAGCCGGCCUGAGAGGGUGACCGGCCACACUGGGACUGAGACACGGCCCAGACUCCUACGGGAGGCAGCAGUGGGGAAUAUUGCACAAUGGGCGCAAGCCUGAUGCAGCGACGCCGCGUGAGGGAUGACGGCCUUCGGGUUGUAAACCUCUGUUAGCAGGGAAGAAGAGAGAUUGACGGUACCUGCAGAGAAAGCGCCGGCUAACUACGUGCCAGCAGCCGCGGUAAUACGUAGGGCGCGAGCGUUGUCCGGAAUUAUUGGGCGUAAAGAGCUUGUAGGCGGUUUGUCGCGUCUGCUGUGAAAGGCCGGGGCUUAACCCCGUGUAUUGCAGUGGGUACGGGCAGACUAGAGUGCAGUAGGGGAGACUGGAAUUCCUGGUGUAGCGGUGGAAUGCGCAGAUAUCAGGAGGAACACCGAUGGCGAAGGCAGGUCUCUGGGCUGUAACUGACGCUGAGAAGCGAAAGCAUGGGGAGCGAACAGGAUUAGAUACCCUGGUAGUCCAUGCCGUAAACGUUGGGCACUAGGUGUGGGGGACAUUCCACGUUUUCCGCGCCGUAGCUAACGCAUUAAGUGCCCCGCCUGGGGAGUACGGCCGCAAGGCUAAAACUCAAAGGAAUUGACGGGGGCCCGCACAAGCAGCGGAGCAUGUGGUUUAAUUCGAAGCAACGCGAAGAACCUUACCAGGGCUUGACAUCCUGCUGACAGGACCUUAACCGGUCCCUUCUUCGGACAGCAGAGACAGGUGGUGCAUGGUUGUCGUCAGCUCGUGUCGUGAGAUGUUGGGUUAAGU
rnacentral:rRNA from 1 species